rnacentral:rRNA from 1 species
AAUCAACGCUGGCGGCGUGCCUAACACAUGCAAGUCGAGCGAGAGGGGGUAGCAAUACCCUAGUAAAGCGGCGCACGGGUGAGUAACACGUGGGUAAUCUGCCUCGAAGUGGGGAAUAACACCGGGAAACCGGUGCUAAUACCGCAUAAUCUGGCGAAGUCUGCGGAUUUUGUCAGCAAAGAAGCAAUUCGCUUUGAGAGGAGCCCGCGGCUGAUUAGCUAGUUGGUGAGGUAAUGGCUCACCAAGGCUACGAUCAGUAGCCGGUCUGAGAGGACGGUCGGCCACACUGGAACUGAGACACGGUCCAGACUCCUACGGGAGGCAGCAGUGGGGAAUUUUUGGCAAUGGGGGCAACCCUGACCAAGCAACGCCGCGUGGGUGAUGAAGUCUCUUGGGACGUAAAACCCUUUCGACGGGGACGAAACCGCAAGGUUGACGGUACCCGUAGAAGAAGCCCCGGCUAACUCCGUGCCAGCAGCCGCAGUAAUAC